rnacentral:tRNA from 1 species
GCAUCGGUGGUUUAGUGGUAAAAUUAGCCGUUGCCAUCCUUCACAAUGACAGGACAGUUUCGGCUAGCCCCGGGUUCGAUUCCCGGCCGAUGCA